rnacentral:rRNA from 1 species
CUAAAAAGUUCUAAAAGCACAAAGAUUUGGUCCUGGUCUUAUUGUCAGUUAUCUCUUGAUUUACACAUGCAAGUCUCAGCACACCAGUGAGGACGCCCUUACCCCUUCUAUAGGACAAGGAGCUGAUAUCAGGCACUUCCACCGCCCAUAACAUCUAGUCCGACCACACCCCCAAGGGUAUUCAGCAGUGAUAAACAUUGUUUAUAAGCGACAGCUUGACUCAGUCAAAGAGAAGAGGGCCGGCCAACCCGGUGCCAGCCGCCGCGGCUAAACCCUAGGGCCCAAAUUGAUAAUACUCGGCGUCAAUCGUGAUUAAAGCUUUCUAAAAUUAGAGCAGAACCUAUUAUUAAGCUGUGAAAAGCAAUUUUUUUAGGGAAAAUCAGAAACGAAAGUUACUCUAAUACACACUUGAACACACGACAACUGGGAAACAAACUGGGAUUA